rnacentral:rRNA from 1 species
CGAAGGGUGCAAGCGUUAAUCGGAAUUACUGGGCGUAAAGCGUGCGUAGGCGGUUGGCUAAGUCAGAUGUGAAAGCCCUGGGCUCAACCUGGGAAUGGCAUUUGAAACUGGCUGGCUAGAGUGUGAUAGAGGAUGGCGGAAUUCCCGGUGUAGCGGUGAAAUGCGUAGAGAUCGGGAGGAACAUCCGUGGCGAAGGCGGCCAUCUGGAUCAACACUGACGCUGAGGCACGAAAGCGUGGGGAGCAAACAGGAUUAGAUACCCUGGUAGUCCACGCCCUAAACGAUGCGAACUGGAUGUUGGUCUCAACUCGGAGAUCAGUGUCGAAGCUAACGCGUUAAGUUCGCCGCCUGGGGAGUACGGUCGCAAGACUG